UAAUUUGGUUUAGAAAACAAACAAGUUGAUCUAAUUUCUUAACAGGUUUUUCUUUUCUUUUUUUAAAUGGUUGAAAGAUCCUUACCCUUUGUACUUUAAGAGAUACGAGGAAUUGAAUUUACAUAUAGGUGUUUUUAGUUGUUGAUGUUGCAAAUGAGUUUAAAAUAAUAUUUUUGUAGAAUAAUCUUUCAAACUUUUUCUAGGUAUGGAGCACUAGGGAUGGAUGUAACUGCUGCAGCAGCGUUAUGUUAAGGCUUUUGACAAAAGAUGACAAAAGUUGGCUAGUGCUAAUGCAGAUGUGCUUUUAGUGUGAAAGAGCGUAGUCUGGGCGCUGAUUAAAGGUCAAAGAUGCUGCAAGUUUUAAAACUACUCUAAAGGGCAAAGCUGAUAUCUUACUUGGUGAGAUCAAGUAACUUGUGGCUUAAAAUUCAGAGAAGCUGAUGACAGAAGCCAUUUUAACAACACUGGUUGCUGUUAGUGGGGGUGGGUUUAUUUUAAUUUUGCAUUGCUUGCUUUUAAGGGCUUUGUUGGAGGGAAGGAUUUGAGGGACGUUCUGGGUUAAAUUGGAAAAGUCACGCUUUGGAAAAAUAACUUCGGUUCUGCUUUCUAAAAUGCACAGAACUCGCUGCAGUUUAUUUUUACUCUUAUUAAUAUGGUAGUAGUAAAAAUUAAGAAAAGUCAAAUUUACCUCUUUUCAUGCAGUAAAGCUUUGUGCAUGUGAUGUCGAAAAUAUACCUCAUUCCAGUGUCUAUCUUAAACCAAGUAGAAUUCGGCAAAUAUGUACCUUGAUUCCUGACUGUCUUCCAGAAGAAUUGUAUAAAGGUAAUUGUUAGGAAGCACUGGGUAUUGUUUCGUGUUCCUUUCUGAAGAUUUGGUUGGGUCAUCUAUUAAGCAUUGAUGGAAAGAUGCAUUCAAAAUUCUGUAUGGUAUGUUGAAGGGGAUUGAUCUACUCAAUAUAUACAAAGUAGCUGAUGUUGACUGAAGCACUGAAUCCAGUCAGAUGAAGAGUGUCAAAUGGAGUCUACGAAUGGGAAACCAAGAUGGCAGUUCCACUGUUGAUUGAGAGGUUGAGGAAAUGGACUAAUGCAUGUGUGCUGUGAUAUAUCCAUCCAAGACAGGGGCAUUUUAACAUGGACUUCAGUAUUACUAAAUCAGAGAAGAACUGGGUUUACGAUCAUCUUUCCAAAAUGGACAUUGGACUGAAUUGAGUUCCUAAGGGUAUUACAUUGGUGAAUAGAAGAUGGAUCUGUUGGAGGGGUGGAUGUCUUUUUUUUGUUUUGUUUUGCUUCAGAAGACGUACAUUUAACAAGGAACUUAAGGUGGCAUCAGGUGCAUUGCUGCCUAAUUAGACGAAAUGUAUUGUUGUGCUAUAACAAAUGAUUUAUUUAAUAAAAAAUAUUUUACACUUUA